CAACCAACCCAUACAAG
rnacentral:rRNA from 9 species